UACGGAGGGUGCAAGCGUUAUCCGGAUUUAUUGGGUUUAAAGGGUCCGUAGGCGGACUUGUAAGUCAGUGGUGAAAUCUCAUAGCUUAACUAUGAAACUGCCAUUGAUACUGCAGGUCUUGAGCAAAUUUGAAGUGGCUGGAAUAAGUAGUGUAGCGGUGAAAUGCAUAGAUAUUACUUAGAACACCAAUUGUGAAGGCAGGUCACUAAGAUUUAACUGACGCUGAUGGACGAAAGCGUGGGGAGCGAACAGG
rnacentral:misc_RNA from 1 species